rnacentral:rRNA from 1 species
UACAGAGGUCCCGAGCGUUGUUCGGAUUUAUUGGGCGUAAAGGGUGCGUAGGCGGCGGGGUAAGUUGGGUGUGAAAUCCCGAGGCUCAACCUCGGAAUUGCAUUCAAUACUGCUUCGCUCGAGUACUGGAGAGGAGGCUGGAAUUUACGGUGUAGCAGUGAAAUGCGUAGAUAUCGUAAGGAAGGCCGGUGGCGAAAGCGAGCCUCUGGACAGUUACUGACGCUGAUGCACGAAGGCCAGGGGAGCAAACGGG